rnacentral:rRNA from 1 species
UACGGGGGGGGCAAGCGUUGUUCGGAAUUACUGGGCGUAAAGGGCUCGUAGGCGGCCAACUAAGUCAGACGUGAAAUCCCUCGGCUUAGCCGGGGAACUGCGUCUGAUACUGGAUGGCUAGAGGUUGGGAGAGGGAUGCGGAAUUCCAGGUGUAGCGGUGAAAUGCGUAGAUAUCUGGAGGAACACCGGUGGCGAAGGCGGCAUCCUGGACCAAUUCUGACGCUGAGGAGCGAAAGCCAGGGGAGCAAACGGG